rnacentral:rRNA from 1 species
UACGGAGGGUGCGAGCGUUGUCCGGAAUCACUGGGCGUAAAGGGCGCGUAGGCGGCCUGAUAAGUAGGGGGGUGAAAUCCUGCGGCUUAACCGCAGGGCUGCCUUCUAAACUGUCAGGCUUGAGCACAGUAGAGGCAGGCGGAAUUCCGGGUGGAGUGGUGGAAUGCGUAGAGAUCCGGAGGAACACCAGCGGCGAAGGCGGCAUCCUGGACUGGUCCUGACACUCAGGAGCGAAAGCGUGGGGAGCGAUCCGG